rnacentral:tRNA from 1 species
GCCCUUGUGGUGGAAUUGGUAGACACACCAGUUUUAGGAACUGGCGCAUUCGCGUACCGGUUCAAGUCCGGUUGAGGGUA